rnacentral:rRNA from 1 species
AUUGAACGCUGGCGGCAGGCCUAACACAUGCAAGUCGAGCGGCAGCGGAAAGUAGCUUGCUACUUUGCCGGCGAGCGGCGGACGGGUGAGUAAUGUCUGGGAAACUGCCUGAUGGAGGGGGAUAACUACUGGAAACGGUAGCUAAUACCGCAUAAUGUCGCAAGACCAAAGAGGGGGACCUUCGGGCCUCUUGCCAUCAGAUGUGCCCAGAUGGGAUUAGCUAGUAGGUGGGGUAACGGCUCACCUAGGCGACGAUACCUAGCUGGUCUGGGAGAAUGCCAGGCCAAACUGGAACUGGGACACGGUCCAGACUCCUACGGGAGGCAGCAGUGGGGAAUAUUGCACAAUGGGCGCAAGCCUGAUGCAGCCAUGCCGCGUGUAUGAAGAAGGCCUUCGGGUUGUAAAGUACUUUCAGCGGGGAGGAAGGUGUUGAGGUUAAUAACCUCAGCAAUUGACGUUACCCACAGAAGAAGCACCGGCUAACUCCGUGCCAGCCGCCACAGUAAUAC